rnacentral:rRNA from 1 species
AUUGAACGCUGGCGGCGUGCCUAAUACAUGCAAGUCGAACGGAGUGGCGCACGGGUGAGUAAUAUCUAGCUAAUCUGCCCCUUGCUGGAGGACACCAGUUAGAAAUGCAUGCUAAUACUCCAUACCAAGGGAUGGGCCUAUAUCGUAUCAGCUAGUCGGUGGGGUAACGGCCUACCGAGGCGAUGACGCGUAACUGGUCUGAGAGGAUGAGCAGGAAAAUUCGAACGGAGACACGGUUCAAACUCCUACGGGAGGGGGCAGUAGGGAAAAGUGCGCAAGGGGGGAAUCCCUGACGCAGCAACGCGGCGUGGAGUAUGACAAGUGUCGGAGCGUAAACUCAUUUUGUUAGGCUAGCGUUACCUAACGAAGAAGCACCGGCUAACUCCGUGCCAGCAGCCGCGGUAAUAC